rnacentral:rRNA from 1 species
GCGAAAGCGAGUCUGAAUAGGGCGCUUAGUCGGAUGCGGCAGACCCGAAACGAAGUGAUCUAUCCAUGAGCAAGUUGAAGCUAGUGUAAGAACUAGUGGAGGACUGAACCCAUAGGCGUUGAAAAGCCCCGGGAUGACUUGUGGAUAGGGGUGAAAGGCCAAUCAAACUUCGUGAUAGCUGGUUCUCUCCGAAAUAUAUUUAGGUAUAGCGUUGUGUCGUAAUAUAAGGGGGUAGAGCACUGAAUGGGCUAGGGCAUACACYGUUA